rnacentral:lncRNA from 1 species
CCACCUCCGGUGCCAGCUCCACCACCAAAUCCACCACCAGCUCCAGCUCCGGCUCCACCGCCAAGUCCACCCCCGCCUCCACCUCCAAAUCCUCCUCCUCCGCCUCCACCAAGUCCACCACCUGCACCAGAACCACCUCCAAACCCAGCUCCUCCUCCAAAACCAGACCCUCCACCAACUCCACCUCCACCACCGCCACCAAAUCCUCCUCCACCACCACCACCAAGCCCACUUCCUGCUCCACCACCUGCACCAGCACCCCCACCAAACCCUCCUCCUAAACCACCACCUAACCCUCCUCCACCACCACCCCCAAAUCCACCUCCUCCUCCUGCUCCUCCACCAAACCCUGGACGGUGGAAGAAUGUUUUUUCA